rnacentral:rRNA from 1 species
UGAGUAACCUGCCCUAGGCUUUGGGAUAAUCCUCGGAAACGGGGGCUAAUACUGGAUAUUCCCGCGGGAUCGCAUGGUUUUGUGGGGAAAGGUUUUCCGGCUUGGGAUGGGCUCGCGGCCUAUCAGCUUGUUGGUGGGGUGAUGGCCUACCAAGGCGACAACGGGUAGCCGGCCUGAGAGGGUGACCGGCCACACUGGGACUGAGACACGGCCCAGACUCCGUACGGGAGGCAG